rnacentral:pre_miRNA from 1 species
AUUACCUGGGCAUCUGUUAAAACGCAGAUUCUGGUUCAGUAACGCUGCAGUGGGCCUGAGAUUCUGCAUUUCUAACACGGUCCCAAGUGACGUUGA